AGGUCAUUUUGAGGGCAGUUUCUUACCAAACCCUUGUAUCUCUCCCAUGCCUCGUAGAGUGAUUCUCCUCCUAUUUUCUCAAAGGUGGCAAUUGCUUUCUUUAAUUU